UCAGCUUGCAUACUUUUGUUUAUCAUUUUAUAUUCAAUUUCAUAAAGCUUUUGAGAGCCAUAUUCUUGUCCAAUGUUGUUGUGAUCUAGAGCUUAUUUCUUUUUACUCAUACCUACUCAUAAAGGAAUAUAUUGUUUGAGUGUUUUAGUGUUUGUACACUUGGAAGAGAAUUGUGAUUCUCUUGUUGUAAGGAACUUGUGUUUCCUUGGUUGAAGUCUUUGAGUAUUGUAACUCCGAGCAAAGGUGUUGAGGCUUGCAUCCUCAAGUUGUAAAGGUUAGUUAAGCACCCGGAAGCUUG
rnacentral:lncRNA from 1 species